AAAAAAUCGCUGUCUAGAUAAUAUUCAUCAAUUUUAGCUUUCAAUACCAUGUUUUGGAUUUUUCUUUUGUGAGUAUUGAUGUCUUCAUUGUUUUAAUAUAUUUUUUUUAAGAUUUUAUAUAUUUAUUCAUUAGGGACACAGAGAGAGAGGCAGAGACACAGGCAGAGGGAGAAGCAGUUUCCCUGCCGGGACUUGAUACCAGGACCCGGGAUCACGACCUGAGCCGAAGACAGAGGCUCAAACAAUUAGCCACUCAGGCAUUGCCGUUUUUAACAUCUGAUAGAGAAAGAGAAACACUUCAGGGAUAUGGAGAUGGAAGUAUAAUACAGAAGACUGAGCCUCUGACAUGUUAUGGAAUAGAGCUGCCUUUCGUGUUUGGACUUGGACAAGAAAGAGAAAUUUUAUCUUGUUCGAGUUGUUAUUUCAGGUGUCUGCUACAAGCAUCCAAAUGAAUACCCAAUAUAUACAUCAAAGUAAUAUAUUUCAGUUCUCCUAAUCUAUUAACAGCAAUACAAAUUUUAACUAAGCCCUGUGAUUAUAUCAAUUACUCACCUUCUCAGGUAAAUUAAAGCAAUUUAUCUUAAUUUACCAUCCUUUCUCUCCUUUCACCAAAACUUGGCCCACUGCUGCUAAUGGCAAUAUGGACUCCUUUCCUGUAUAAUGGCACUUGCAAUAAUCUUGUCUUAACCAAGAUAAGAGUGAGUUGACAGCAGUAAGCCACAGGUGUGUGUGUGUGUGUGUGUGUGUGUGUGUGAGAGAGAGAGAGAGAGAGAGAGAGAGAGAGAGAGAAAGGAAAGUCUCUCCUAUAUUUUACUUUAGAUGAAUUAAAGACUAUAGAAUAUAUUGUACCAAAAGUAUAUGGUCAAAAAAU
rnacentral:lncRNA from 1 species